rnacentral:rRNA from 1 species
AUACAUGAGCAAAAUCUCAACUUUAUUAGAAGAGACGCAUUUAUUAGAUAAAAAGCCAAUGCAUGCUUUUACAGUAUGGAAAUUGGUGAUUUAUAAUAACUUGGCAAAUCGCAAAGUGAAAACAGGCGAUAAAUCAUUCAAGUUUUUGACCUAUCAGCUUUCGACGGUAUGGUAUUGGCUUACCGUGGCAGUGACGGUUAACGGGGGAUUAGGGUUCGAUUCCGGAGAGGGAGCCUGAGAAACGGCUACCACAUCUAAGGAAGGCAGCAGGCGCGCAAAUUACCCAAUUCUAACAGUUUGAGAGAGGUAGUAACAAGAAAUAACAAUACAAGGCAAUUAAAAUGUUUUGUAAUUGGAAUGAUAGAAAUUUAAACCCUUUUUAAAGUAUCAAUUGGAGGGCAAGUCUGGUGCCAGCAGCCGCGGUAAUUCCAGCUCCAAUAGCGUAUAUUAAAAUUGUUGCAGUUAAAAAGCUCGUAGUUGAAGUUCUGCUAAAAGUAACCGGUCUGCUUUUAAUAAAAGUGGUAUCUUGGUGUGUAUUUAGCAAUGAUGUCCUUUGAAGUGUUUUUUACUUUAUUGUAAUAAAGCAUAUUCAGGACUUUUACUUUGAGAAAAUUAGAGUGUUUCUAGCAGGCCGACGCUUUGAAUACUGCAGCAUGAAAUAAUAAGG